GGAUUCUCCAGUAACGGCGAGUGAACGGAGAUUAGCCCAUCACCGAAGUCCAGUGCUUUUGCAUAUAGGACAAUGUGGUGUUUAAGCUUGUACCUGGGAUUGCGAACCUACCCGAAGUCCAACUCCGAUUGUGGCUUGGAUUGUGCCCAUAGCGGGUGAGAGGCCCGUACGGGUAGGUUCUGUUGUAUGCAGUCCUCAGAUGUACUUGCUUUCGAGUCGGAUUGCUUGAGAAUGCAGUCCAAAGUGGGUGGUAAACUCCAUCCAAGGCUAAAUACUGGCACGAGUCCGAUAGUAGACAAGUACCGUGAGGGAAAGUUGAAAAGUACUCUGAAGAGAGAGUAAAUAGCACGUGAAGCCGGUUGCAGGGAAGCUGGUGGAGUCAAGCUUCAUGCUUGAGGGGUUUAUGUUAGCAACCCUGUGUUGUAUGGGCGUGUGGCUAGUCUACUUGGAAUAAGUUGGGCACAUCCGUGUGCUUCAAGUCAUUCUGGGUUGUGUGUUUGAGCUGGUCACAUCGUUCAGUUGCUAGCAUUCUAUCUCUCGUUGCAUAAAUCACGGUUGAUAGCUUUAUGCUGUGUGAUUGUCUAACUGUGCCACGGCGGGCCUGUGCUUGUCGGGUAUGGGAUGGCAGGUUGAGUCUGCGUGCCUUGUGUAUGUUGACUCUUAUAGUGGUUUUGACCAGCUGACUAUCAUGCAGUAUUGAAGUUAUCAUUGUUUUAUGGCGUACCGUCCUCGGACUGUGCGUCGGUUAGAACCGUGAUUCUGAGGUAGA
rnacentral:rRNA from 1 species